rnacentral:lncRNA from 1 species
CUUCAAAUAAUUCGUGAUCAUUUCUGACUUUUGCACAAUGCAUUUCUCAUUCACAGGAUCUGCUCUUAAGCCCCAAACCUCCAACGCCACCAGUGUUGCCAGCACAGAAGUGAAAAAGUGGGUGCAGGACACCAGGGCAGCGAGGGAGUGGCAGCGGUCUCUCUCUCUAUAGCUGGAAGAGGAUGACACUGCCGAGUCCCACACCUAAGUACUUGGUGGCUGCUCACGACCUCUGCUGUCAGCAAAGCCUGUUUCCCACUGCCAGCCCCUUCAUUCUCGUGACUCGGGAGUGCUCUCGAUGCAGGCUGAUCAAGAAGAAUUAAAUCAGCAUUUCCACUGCUCAGAUGCAUGAAUUUAUCUGCUUAUUGUGCGCUCCAUCCUGGAUCCACUCAUGACCCAGAACCUUAAGAACACUUAUGAGCCGGGUUUAUUGUGAAGAGAGGUGAAAAAUUCAUAUCAAG